rnacentral:rRNA from 1 species
GUCGAGCGAGUCAAUCAAAUCCUUGAAGAUAUGCUCCGGGCUUCUGUCAUCUCUUUCGGUAUGAAGUGGGAAGAUUGUCUUCCAUAUGCCAAGUUUUCCUACAACAAUAGCUUCCAAGCGAGUUCAGGCAAGGCCCCAUUCGAAAUUCUCUAUGGCAGAAAGUGCCGUACUCCUCUCAAUUGGUCUGAGACAGGUGAACGCCAACUUCUUGGCAAUGACUUGAUCACAGAAGCCGAAGAAAUGUGCAAAGUCAUUCAUGAGAAUCUCAAAGCCGCGCAAUCACGACAGAAGAGUUACUAUGAUAGCAAGCACCGUGACUUGGCUUUUGAAAUCAAAGACCAUGUCUACCUCCGCGUCUCUCCAAUGAAAGGCACUCGUCACUUUGGUAUCAAAGGGAAGCUUGCCCCUAGAUACGUGGGUCCUUUCAAGAUCAUUGGCAAAAGAGGCGACCUCGCCUAUCAACUUGAG